UACGUAGGGUGCAAGCGUUAAUCGGAAUUACUGGGCGUAAAGCGUGCGCAGGCGGCUGUGCAAGACAGAUGUGAAAUCCCCGGGCUUAACCUGGGAAUUGCAUUUGUGACUGCACGGCUAGAGUGUGUCAGAGGGGGGUAGAAUUCCACGUGUAGCAGUGAAAUGCGUAGAUAUGUGGAGGAAUACCGAUGGCGAAGGCAGCCCCCUGGGAUAACACUGACGCUCAUGCACGAAAGCGUGGGGAGCAAACAGG
rnacentral:rRNA from 1 species